rnacentral:rRNA from 1 species
UACGUAGGUGGCAAGCGUUGUCCGGAUUUACUGGGCGUAAAGCGUAUGCAGGCGGAGGUGUAAGUAGGAAGUGAAAGGUUGGAGCUCAACUCUAACACUGCUCCCUAUACUGCACCUCUGGAGUGCCGGAGAGGACAAAGGAACUUCACGUGUAGCGGUGAAAUGCGUUGAGAUGUGAAGGAACACCAAUGGCGAAAGCAUUUGUCUGGACGGAAACUGACGCUGAGAUACGAAAGCUAGGGGAGCGAACAGG